rnacentral:rRNA from 1 species
GCUGGUGGAUUAGUGGCGAACGGGUGAGUAACACGUGAGUAACCUGCCCUUAACUCUGGGAUAAGCCUGGGAAACUGGGUCUAAUACCGGAUAUGACUCCUCAUCGCAUGGUGGGGGGUGGAAAGCUUUAUUGUGGUUUUGGAUGGACUCGCGGCCUAUCAGCUUGUUGGUGAGGUAAUGGCUCACCAAGGCGACGACGGGUAGCCGGCCUGAGAGGGUGACCGGCCACACUGGGACUGAGACACGGCCCAGACUCCUACGGGAGGCAGCAGUGGGGAAUAUUGCACAAUGGGCGAAAGCCUGAUGCAGCGACGCCGCGUGAGGGAUGACGGCCUUCGGGUUGUAAACCUCUUUCAGUAGGGAAGAAGCGAAAGUGACGGUACCUGCAGAAGAAGCGCCGGCUAACUACGUGCCAGCAGCCGCGGUAAUACGUAGGGCGCAAGCGUUAUCCGGAAUUAUUGGGCGUAAAGAGCUCGUAGGCGGUUUGUCGCGUCUGCCGUGAAAGUCCGGGGCUCAACUCCGGAUCUGCGGUGGGUACGGGCAGACUAGAGUGAUGUAGGGGAGACUGGAAUUCCUGGUGUAGCGGUGAAAUGCGCAGAUAUCAGGAGGAACACCGAUGGCGAAGGCAGGUCUCUGGGCAUUAACUGACGCUGAGGAGCGAAAGCAUGGGGAGCGAACAGGAUUAGAUACCCUGGUAGUCCAUGCCGUAAACGUUGGGCACUAGGUGUGGGGGACAUUCCACGUUUUCCGCGCCGUAGCUAACGCAUUAAGUGCCCCGCCUGGGGAGUACGGCCGCAAGGCUAAAACUCAAAGGAAUUGACGGGGGCCCGCACAAGCGGCGGAGCAUGCGGAUUAAUUCGAUGCAACGCGAAGAACCUUACCAAGGCUUGACAUGAACCGGAAAUGCCUGGAAACAGGUGCCCCGCUUGCGGUCGGUUUACAGGUGGUGCAUGGGUUGUCGUCAGCUCGUGUCGUGAGAUGUUGGGUUAAGUCCCGCAACGAGCGCAACCCUCGUUCUAUGUUGCCAGCGCGUGAUGGCGGGGACUCAUAGGAGACUGCCGGGGUCAACUCGGAGGAAGGUGGGGACGACGUCAAAUCAUCAUGCCCCUUAUGUCUUGGGCUUCACGCAUGCUACAAUGGCCGGUACAAAGGGUUGCGAUACUGUGAGGUGGAGCUAAUCCCAAAAAGCCGGUCUCAGUUCGGAUUGGGGUCUGCAACUCGACCCCAUGAAGUCGGAGUCGCUAGUAAUCGCAGAUCAGCAACGCUGCGGUGAAUACGUUCCCGGGCCUUGUACACACCGCCCGUCAAGUCACGAAAGUUGGUAACACCCGAAGCCGGUGGCCUAACCCCUUGU